rfam:Dipodomys ordii contig_22620, whole genome shotgun sequence.
GGGAAGAUGGCUCAGUGGUAGAGCGCUUGCCUUGCAUGCAUGAGGCCCUGGGAUCAAUUCCUCAGUACCA